GUGCUCACUUGGGCAGAACAUAUACUACAAUUGAAACAACACAGAGAAGAUCAGCAUGAUCCCUGCACAAGGAUAACAUGAUUAGUGAGGCAUUCCAUAUUUUC